AUGGUGAACCAUGGGAAGGAGAAGGCUCGAUUUUUGUUCUCGAUCUGCUCUCUGACGGCGGCAGCCUUCCCCGAGCUUGGCGAGCUGGAGCCGUCCCUUCCCGUCGUGGAUCUGCUCUCCGCGACGCCGCCUGCCUCCCCGGACCAUCCCCUCUCGCUCAGCCGCGACUCCCUCCCUGGAGCAGCCGCUCCCUCCCAACCCAAAGCCGCCGGCCGGAGCUACACCGCAGCACACUCCCUCCCUCCUCUUCUUAGGGACCGAAUUGUGGUCGAGGAGGAGCUUUCCCUUGUCGCCCAGCAGCUCCUGCUCCAACGGGCUCGUCCACAAGUCCGGCAGCACCAGCCGCUCUUCCCUCUUCCGGUCUAG
rnacentral:rRNA from 1 species